UACAUGGAGGAAAUGCCAUGAGAUAGAAUUUCUAUCUGGUCAAAUUGAUGAUUAUUUCCCUGAUUAUCAAUUGGGCUGCGGACUAUGCAUACUCCUCAAU
rfam:Dialister sp. CAG:357 genomic scaffold, scf126